CGAGUAGGUGUUUACUUCCCGGGAAUGUGAGGGUGGAUUCACUCACCACAAGUUGGGAUAUGCAGGCACAUGGAGAUACCUGAGUGGAAGGAAGAAGUGAACAGAGUAUCAAAAUGACUACAAGGGUAAAUUUUCUCCAACACAAUUUCUCCGGCUUUUCUCCAGCUUGGUCGUUCACACAAACAUUCUUCAUAUUGUUGGUCUGUGUCCCCACUGUCAUUUUUUCAGCCGAAGAGAGCAAGAUCAGGUGCACAGUGUCACCUGUGCUGCCUCUCAGUGAUGCUAACCUUACCUGUUACUUUCCCGAGGACCUCAGUAUAACAAGGAAAGACUUCACGGUCUAUCAUUAUGCUCAGCAUGGCAGUGCAG